CUCCAAUAUUGGGGGAUGACAUUUCAACAUGAGAUUUGGGGAGAUAAAUAUCCAAACCGUAUCAGAUAUUAGAAGUCAAACAAUACAGAGUUCAAUAAAAUAGAAGUAAAAUUUGACUUUCUCUCCUGAGAUUGAGUUCAUGUAAGGUCCAAUGCCCACUGCUCAAAAAACAUGAGCUACUAGAUUACAUGUAACAGAGAUAUUGAAAUAAGGUGUGGUAAACAGCAACAGUGCCCUAUUGAAAAUAAAGUGUCCACAUUCUUCAAGGACCACAUCAAAGAAAAUCUUACUCUUAACAUGAGACUGGAUAUUUGUCCUCACAUGGGAGACAGACCAAAUAGAUUAGAAUGCUAUUGCCCAAGAGAGAUAUAAGAGGAGUAAUGGGGAAGGCCAUAGGGUCUUUGUUUAGGGUUAGCAGCAUUUGCAAACUGAGAAAAUUGCUUGUGAUGUCUAUAUGCAAGAAGGGGAACUCAUACCUUGCUCCAUGGUUGGAGAUUACUAAAAUAGCAUGGUUUCAUGUUUGGGAAGCAAAGCUAAAAGGACUGCCUCCUGAAAGGAAAGGAAGAUAGAUCCUAUUUGAGUUUGCAGGCCCAGUGUUGGGAAAAGAAGGUACAAAAAUAUGAUGGCUGCAUCAUAUAUUGGUUCUCUCCAACAUGAGGCAAGGAGAUGUGUGUAUCAGAGGAAUUCAUGUGGGAUGCACACAGUUGGGAUCAGUUUGGAUAUGUAACCUAGUCUCAAAGAGUUGGGUGGUACCUUGAAAUCUCUUUGAGAUUGUAUUACAUCACUAGGACCUGUUGGGCCUCACUUACCUGAGACCUAGACAAAGGCCUAGGUCAGUUGUGAUGACUAACAGAAAUGUGACGGCAAAUUCAUGACCACCAACAUAGAAGUUCACAUAAAAGACAUAAAUUGAAGUACAGAAGCAAACAUUUAACUUGCAAUGGAAAGCCCUCUUCCAGCACCAAAAUGAGACUAUUAGCCACAGAGGAGGGAUGGGGUGAGCAAUAGGAGACUAAGUCCAUGAUAUUUUUUUCCUACCCCUCAACACCCUUCACACACAGAAACUGACAAUGGACCCACAUCUUUAGUCUUGAGGGGGACAGGGCAUUGGUGGGCUGGUAAAUGUUUAACAACUGGUUCUCUAGAAGGAAAAUGUGACUUGUAAUAUUUGACGAUUUCCAUAGUGUAAAUACUCCCAUCAUGGCCAAUGUCAAGCUCCAACAGCACAUCACUGAACUUUGAGUUGGAAAGAAAUAUGCACACUAGGCUUUUGUGAGCUGUCUCAAGCUGGCUUCAUCACAUUAGCAGGAAAGAAUGAAUUAUGGGAAUAAUCAGCUAGAAGAGCAUGUCUUUCUUCUGUGGUUGCAAUAACAAGAAGUAGGAGGGGGAGAAGGAAAAGGAGAAAGAGGAAGAAGGAGAGGAGGAGGAAGAAGAGGAGGAGAAGAAAAAGUGCCACUGCCAACCUAGUGAAUCCGAUAAAAGAGAAACUUCUGAUAGAUUGACAUGAAAGAAAGCUGUCAUUUAGGAUCAAUAUCCUAAGUGUUUAUUUAAAUGCUUUAUGGAUGAGCUGUUGAGUCUUCUGCUCUUCUGGUGAAAGAAUUAAAAUCUAGCAAUGUUUCCAGACUCCUUUUUGACUUGACUCUGAUACCUACUAUCAGGUGACGAAGUUACUACAGUGGAGUUGGAAUGAUGCAUUAUUCCGAUUUUUGCUAUGAGUUCUCCUCAACUACCUAGCUUUUAGUAUUAUACAAAAGAUCUGGGAGAGUCUUG
rnacentral:lncRNA from 10 species